rnacentral:rRNA from 1 species
CGGGGUGAGUAACGCGUGAGGAACCUGCCGUUUCAGAGGGGGACAACAGUUGGAAACGACUGCUAAUACCGCAUAACACAUAGGUGUCGCAUGGCAUUUAUGUCAAAGAUUUAUCGCUGAAAGAUGGCCUCGCGUCUGAUUAGCUAGUUGGUAGGGUAACGGCCUACCAAGGCGACGAUCAGUAGCCGGACUGAGAGGUUGGCCGGCCACAUUGGGACUGAGAUACGGCCCAGACUCCUACGGAAGGCAGCAG